GCCGGAGGCCAUUGCUAUCAGGGUUUGACUAAGCCAUGCGAGUCGAGAGGUGUAAGACCUCGGCAUACUGCUCAGUAACACGUGGUUAACCUGCCCUAAGGUGGAGAAUACUCCCGGGAAACUGGGGCUAAUGCUCCAUAGUGGAUAUGUCCUGGAAUGGUAUAUCCUCGAAAGAUCCGUCGCCUUAGGAUGGGACUGCGUCCGAUUAGGUUGUUGGCGGGGUAACGGCCCACCAAGCCUUUUAUCGGUACGGGUUGUGGGAGCAAGAUCCCGGAGAUGGAUUCUGAGACAUGAAUCCAGGCCCUACGGGGCGCAGCAGGCGCGCAAACUUUACAAUGCGAGCAAUCGUGAUAAGGAAACCCUGAGUGCCUGUCGAUGCAGGCUGUUCAUAUAUCUAAAUCAUAUGUGAAGAAAGGGCAGGGCAAGACCGGUGCCAGCCGCCGCGGUAAUACCGGCUGCUCGAGUGAUGGCCACUAUUACUGGGUUUAAAGCGUCCGUAGCUUGACUGUUAGGUCUCUUGGGAAAUCUUCGCGCUCAACGUGAAGGCGUCUAAGAGAUACUGGCAGUCUUGGAACUGGGAGAGGUAAACCGUACUUCGGGGGUAGGAGUGAAAUCUUGUAAUCCUCGAGGGACGACCUAUGG
rnacentral:rRNA from 1 species